UUGAGCAUGUGUGGUUCAGCCUUGGCAUUUUGAGGCCUGUUUGCCGUCUGCUUUCUUCAGUUACAUGCACGCCCCUCUGACUAAUGGAAAUGAUGGCUGCAAAUUCUCGUAAGUGGCCAUGUGAGUACAAUUUUCUAGGUCUUAUUAAAAUACUGGACAUCCUUGUGCAGGCUCUGAUUACAAGAUGGCCUGCCUCUCCUCAGGACUUGUGGCCCGAGAGCACGGUGCAUCUCCUUGAGUAACAAAUACACUGGGACAAGAGGUAUAAACUAGGACUGUUCCAGUUACCCGAUGGAAGAAAAGCCCAUUUGAUUUUGAAGUUAGACUUGAGCAGCGGUUCUCCAAAUCAGAUCCUGGCACCAGAAGCUCUUCCCUGAUGACAUUUUCACUGAUCUGCAGUGAAAACAUGUCCCUCAGACUUUGAAAGCAAAGCCUUGCCCUCAGCUCUGCCACAGCCUGAAAAAGGAUCCAAGCUCAAUUUUCAAGCAUAUGUCUCUUACAUCAUCGUCAGCCCCAUAUACUAGACUUGGAAUCAACAUCAAGGUAAGCCUUGGGGAGAGAUCAUAUUUGUAAAACUGGAAACUGCAAGCCAAUAUGACGAUGGUUCCUUGGACAUUCAGUCCAAAAGCCCAGGUUGUGGGGGAGGAGGGGGUGAACUGGUGGAUCGGUGCCAGAGACCAGCUUGCCUCUGGAGCUCUUCCAGGCCCUGAUGCAACCAACAGCCAUGGGCUUUGGUAAAGGACAAACAUCUCUGCUGCUCGGUGUGCGUCAUUCACCACAUUGUACCAGACCUGGACCCGAGCCCUGAAUUCUUGCACAGAUGAGAUAAUCAUUUCCUUUUCUUGAGGCCGAUUUGGGGAAUCCUUUUUUACCCUUGGACCUCAAACUCAGAACCCCCA